CCUGGGAACUGCGUUNUGAACUGGGUAGCUAGAGUAUGUCAGAGGGGGGUAGAAUUCCACGUGUAGCAGUGAAAUGCGUAGAGAUGUGGAGGAAUACCGAUGGCGAAGGCAGCCCCCUGGGAUAAUACUGACGUUCAUGCUCGAAAGCGUGGGUAGCAAACAGGAUUAGAUACCCUGGUAGUCCACGCCCUAAACGAUGUCGAUUAGCUGUUGGGCAACUUGAUUGCUUAGUAGCGUAGCUAACGCGUGAAAUCGACCGCCUGGGGAGUACGGUCGCAAGAUUAAAACUCAAAGGAAUUGACGGGGACCCGCACAAGCGGUGGAUGAUGUGGAUUAAUUCGAUGCAACGCGAAGAACCUUACCUGGUCUUGACAUGUACGGAAGAACUCAGAGACGAGUUUGUGCCUUCGGGAGCCGUAACACAGGUGCUGCAUGGCUGUCGUCAGCUCGUGUCGUGAGAUGUUGGGUUAAGUCCCGCAACGAGCGCAACCCUUGUCAUUAGUUGCCAUCAUUUAGUUGGGCACUCUAAUGAGGCUGCUGGUGACAAACCGGAGGAAGGUGGGGAUGACGUCAAGUCCUCAUGGCCCUUAUGACCAGGGCUUCACACGUCAUACAAUGGUCGGUACAGAGGGUAGCCAAGCCGCGAGGUGGAGCCAAUCCCAGAAAACCGAUCGUAGUCCGGAUUGCACUCUGCAACUCGAGUGCAUGAAGUCGGAAUCGCUAGUAAUCGCAGGUCAGCAUACUGCGGUGAAUACGUUCCCGGGUCUUGUACACACCGCCCGUCACACCAUGGGAGUGGGGGAUACCAGAAGUAGGUAGGGUAACCGCAAGGAGCCCGC
rnacentral:rRNA from 1 species